UUCUUCUCAGCUGUACCGUUGAAAAUGGAGUUUUCAAGAAUUCUCAGCGAUAUCCCUCAAGCCCCAGCCUUGAGUUCAGCCAACUGCAGACUUCAUUCAUCUCUUUUGGGAUUGUGUAAUGCCCCAGCCUGCAAACAAGAUCAUUUUGGCUGAGUUUCUUUGGAAGGAGGUUCUGAUAGCAACAAAAAGGAUUAUAAAUAUUUGGGUCUGAAGAAUGGAUUCUAUAGCUCAACAAGAUCAUUGAUAACACACUCACCACUAAGUGGCUACACAGAGGUUAGACUUAGGUAACCUAUUGGAAGAGGGGAAAACUUUAUCAGAAAAUUGACAUUUGGCUGUGAGAAAAUACUCUUAUUUUGAGAGCUUUAACUUCAACUACCUCUUGCAAAAUAAAAGCCAACUUGUGAGUGCAUGGCCAAGAAGAAUCUACAUCAAUUUUCUGGUUGACCAAACACCAAUGAUCAGAAUAAAGAAAAAAAAAAAUAAUUUAAAAAGAUGACGUGGCAUACUGUUACUGGUUUGUUUGUUUUAAAUUACAAUUGAAGCAUCUACUCUUCUCUCCUGGUCAAUGUUUGAGCACUUUUCCUUCCUUUAUGGAAAGGGCAACUUUUCUGUUUGUCAACUCCUCCUCCACCCCACCCUUUAAAAUAGAGAGAUAAUCCAACUUGAUUAUAGAAUUGGUUUGUGCUUAAUUGUGGGCUUAAUUUUUUAACAAGAAACAACAUAUGCUGUUGGCACUAAUCUUUGUUGAGCAUUAAUAUACUUCAUUAUGAAAUUUUACU